AUUGAACGCUGGCGGCAGGCCUAACACAUGCAAGUCGAGCGAGCGGCGGACGGGUGAGUAAUGUAUGGGGACUGCCCGAUAGAGGGGGAUAACUACUGGAAACGGUGGCUAAUACCGCAUACUAUCGGAUAACCCAUAUGGGAUUAGCUAGUAGGUGGGGUAAAGGCUCACCUAGGCGACGGUCUCUAGCUGGACUGAGAGGAUGAUCAGCCACACUGGGACUGAGACACGUCCGAGCCUCCUCCGGAGGCAGCAGUGGGGAAUAUUGCACAAUGGGCGCAAGCCUGAUGCAGCCAUGCGGCGUAGAGGAAGAAGGCCUUGGGGUUGUAAAGUACUUUCAGCGGGGAGGCGUUACCCGAAGAAGAAGCACCGGCUAACUCCGUGCCAGCCGCCGCGGUAAUAC
rnacentral:rRNA from 1 species